rnacentral:rRNA from 1 species
AACGCUGGCGGCGUGCUUAACACAUGCAAGUCGAACGGAGUUUAAGAGGAAGCUUGCGAAUCUUAAACUUAGUGGCGGACGGGUGAGUAACGCGUGGAUAACCUGCCUACAUGACUGGGACAACACCGGGAAACUGGUGCUAAUACCGGAUACGCUCAUCUUUAUACAUGUAGAGAUGAGGAAAGGAGAAAUCCGCAGGUAGAUGGGUCCGCGUCCCAUUAGCUAGUUGGGGGUGUAACGGACCACCAAGGCGACGAUGGGUAGCCGGCCUGAGAGGGUGAACGGCCACACUGGAACUGAGACACGGUCCAGACUCCUACGGGAGGCAGCAGUGGGGAAUCUUCCGCAAUGGGCGAAAGCCUGACGGAGCAACGCCGCGUGAGUGAGGAAGGCCUUCGGGUCGUAAAGCUCUGUCUUCAGGGAAGAAAAAAAUGACGGUACCUGAGGAGGAAGCCCCGGCUAACUACGUGCCAGCAGCCGCGGUAAAACGUAGGGGGCGAGCGUUGUCCGGAAUUACUGGGCGUAAAGGGCGCGUAGGCGGUUAUUUAAGUCAGAGGUGAAAACUACCGGCUUAACCGGUAGCCUGCCUUUGAAACUGGAUGACUUGAGGGCAGGAGAGGGGAGUGGAAUUCCCAGUGUAGCGGUGAAAUGCGUAGAUAUUGGGAGGAACAUCAGUGGCGAAGGCGGCUCUCUGGCCUGUUUCUGACGCUGAGGCGCGAAAGCGUGGGGAGCAAACGGGAUUAGAUACCCCGGUAGUCCACGCUGUAAACGAUGGGUGCUAGGUGUAGGAGGUAUCGACCCCUUCUGUGCCGUAGUUAACACAAUAAGCACCCCGCCUGGGGAGUACGGCCGCAAGGUUGAAACUCAAAGGAAUUGACGG